AAAGGCCAGCCUCAUCGCCGUUUCCAUCGAGUAAUGGCGCCAUAAUGGAAAACAGCGCAAAAGGGACAGGACACAAAGUAGAAGAAGGACACAGGACAUACGCUGACUAACAACCAAAGGUGAAGCCCUCGGACGCAUUUGAGAUUCUCACUUCUCUUGCCUCGGUACGAGAUCUCUUCAGUUCGCUCCAGAGCGACCUGACACUGGGCGUGAGCAGCGCGGCAUUGAAGACGUGCUUUUUGGGUGCCACGGAACUUCUUGCAGACGUUGGAUGUCACCUGAGGUGCCUGGAUGCUCAAGCAGCAAGGUCCAACAACAUGGCGGGGCUCUUCACCGACCUGUCCCACUGGCCAGACCUAAUGCAGAGGAAGCAAGACGUCAUUAACACCGAAGAGAAACUGGCUGCCCUGAAGAAGACCAUAGCAGGGCAGCUUGGGCUCCUCACCUUUGACUACAAGACUGUCAGCGGAAUGCCGUAUCUGAUUGAGGUACCGACCCGGCGGCUGUCAUCAGUUCCUUCCAACUGGCUCAAGAUCAGCUCG